rnacentral:rRNA from 1 species
GCGGCGUGCCUAACACAUGCAAGUCGAACGAGGUAGCAAUACCUAGUGGCAGACGGGUGAGUAACGCGUGGUCAACCUACCGUUGAGUGGGGGAUAACUAGCCGAAAGGUUAGCUAAUACCGCAUACGAGUCUCGGGGGCAUCCCUGGGCCUUAAAAGGAGCAAUCCGCUCGAUGACGGGACCGCGUCCCAUUAGCUAGAUGGUGGGGUAAUGGCCUACCAUGGCUCCGAUGGGUAGCUGGUUUGAGAGAGCGACCAGCCACACUGGGACUGAGAAACGGCCCAGACUCCUACGGGAGGCAGCAGUGAGGAAUUUUCCGCAAUGGGCGAAAGCCUGACGGAGCGACGCCGCGUGUGGGAAGAAGGCCUUCGGGUCGUAAACCACUGUCGAAGGGGACGAUAAUGACGGUACCCUUGGAGGAAGCCCCGGCUAACUACGUGCCAGCAGCCGCGGUAAGAC